GUGCCAGCCGCCGCGGUAAUACCGGCAGCACGAGUGAUGGCCGAUUUUAUUGGGCCUAAAGCGUCCGUAGCUUGCUGUGUAAGUCCAUUGGGAAAUCCACGCGCUCAACGCGUGGGCGUCCGGUGGAAACUGCACGGCUUGGGGCCGAGAGACUCGACGGGUACGUCCGGGGUAGGAGUGAAAUCCUAUAAUCCUGGACGGACCGCCGGUGGCGAAAGCGCCUCGGGAAGACGGACCCGACAGUGAGGGACGAAAGCUAGGGUCUCGAACCGGAUUAGAAACCCUGGUAGUCC
rnacentral:rRNA from 1 species